UACGUAGGGGGCAAGCGUUGUCCGGAUUUAUUGGGCGUAAAGAGCGUGUAGGCGGCUUGGUAGGUCCGCUGUGAAAACCCGCGGCUCAACUGUGGGCGGGCAGCUGAUACGGGCAGGCUGGAGUUCGGUAGGGGAGACUGGAAUUCCUGGUGUAGCGGUGAAAUGCGCAGAUAUCGGGAGGAACACCAGUAGCGAAGGCGGCACUCUGGGCCGGUACUGACGCUGAGGAGCGAAAGCGUGGGGAGCAAACAGG
rnacentral:rRNA from 1 species